rnacentral:rRNA from 1 species
GGAUUAGAUACCCUGGUAGUCCUAGCUGUAAACGAUGGAUACUAGAUGUUGCAUAUUUUAAUAUACGCAGUGUCGUAGCUAACGCGUUAAGUAUCCCGCCUGGGAAGUACGCUCGCAAGGGUGAAACUCAAAGGAAUUGACGGGGGCCCGCACAAGCGGUGGAGUAUGUGGUUUAAUUCGACGCAACGCGCAGAACCUUACCCAGUCUUGACAUCCCUGGACCACUAUGGAGACAUAGCUUUUCGACCUAACGGAAGAAUCAGGUGACAGGUGCUGCAUGGCUGUCGUCAGCUCGUGCCG